rnacentral:rRNA from 1 species
CUGCAUGGUUCGAAAUUGAAAGGCGGCUUCGGCUGUCACCUUAUGGAUGGACCCGCGUCGCAUUUAGCUAGUUGGUGAGGUAACGGCUCACCAAGGCAACGAUGCGUAGCCGACCUGAGAGGGUGAUCGGCCACACUGGGACUGAGACACGGGCCCAGACUCCUACGGGAGGCAGCAGUAGGGAAUUCUUCCGCAAUGGACGAAAGUUCUGACGGAGCAACGCCGCGUGAGUGAUGAAGGCUUUCGGGUCGUAAAACUCUGUUGUUAGGGAAGAACAAGUGCUAGUUGAAUAAGCUGGCACCUUGACGGUACCUAACCAGAAAGCCACGGCUAACUACGUGCCAGCAGCCGCGGUAAUACGUAGGUGGCAAGCGUUAUCCGGAAUUAUUGGGCGUAAAGCGCGCGCAGGUGGUUUCUUAAGUCUGAUGUGAAAGCCCACGGCUCAACCGUGGAGGGUCAUUGGAAACUGGGAGACUUGAGUGCAGAAGAGGAAAGUGGAAUUCCAUGUGUAGCGGUGAAAUGCGUAGAGAUAUGGAGGAACACCAGUGGCGAAGGCGACUUUCUGGUCUGUAACUGACACUGAGGCGCGAAAGCGUGGGGAGCAAACAGGAUUAGAUACCCUGGUAGUCCACGCCGUAAACGAUGAGUGCUAAGUGUUAGAGGGUUUCCGCCCUUUAGUGCUGAAGUUAACGCAUUAAGCACUCCGCCUGGGGAGUACGGCCGCAAGGCUGAAACUCAAAGGAAUUGACGGGGGCCCGCACAAGCGGUGGAGCAUGUGGUUUAAUUCCGAAGCAACGCGAAGAACCUUACCAGGUCUUGACAUCCGUCUGAAAACCCUAGAGAUAGGGCUUCUCCUUCGGGGAGCAGAGUGACAGGUGGUGCAUGGCUUGUCGUCAGCUCGUGUCGUGAGAUGUUGGGUUACAGUCCCGCAACGAGCGCAACCCUUGAUCUUAGUUGGCCAAUUUGAUGAUG